GUCCCUACGGGAGGCAGCAGUGAGGAAUAUUGGUCAAUGGGAGAGAUCCUGAACCAGCCAAGCCGCGUGAAGGAUGACGGCCCUAUGGGUUGUAAACUUCUUUUGUCAGGGAGCAAUUGAGUCCACGUGUGGGCUUAGCGAGAGUACCUGAAGAAAAAGCAUCGGCUAACUCCGUGCCAGCAGCCGCGGUAAUACGGAGGAUGCGAGCGUUAUCCGGAUUUAUUGGGUUUAAAGGGUGCGUAGGCGGAAUAUCAAGUCAGCGGUAAAAAUUCGGGGCUCAACCCCGUCGUGCCGUUGAAACUGAU
rnacentral:rRNA from 1 species